rnacentral:rRNA from 1 species
GGCGAGUGAAGCGGGAAGAGCUCAAAUUUGAAAUCUGGUGGCCUCAGGUCAUCCGAGUUGUAAUCUAUAGAAGUGUUUUCCGUGCUGGCCCAUGUACAAGUCCCUUGGAACAGGGCGUCAUAGAGGGUGAGAAUCCCGUCCUUGACAUGGACUACCAGUGCUCUGUGAUACACUUUCAACGAGUCGAGUUGUUUGGGAAUGCAGCUCAAAAUGGGUGGUAAAUUCCAUCUAAAGCUAAAUAUUGGCGAGAGACCGAUAGCGAACAAGUACCGUGAGGGAAAGAUGAAAAGCACUUUGGAAAGAGAGUUAAACAGUAUGUGAAAUUGUUAAAAGGGAAACGAUUGAAGUCAGUCGUGCUCUUUGGAUUCAGCCGGUUCUGCCGGUGUACUUCCAUUGAGUGGGGUCAACAUCAGUUUUGAUCGCUGGAAAAAGGCUGGAGGAAUGUAGCACUCUCGGGUGAACUUAUAGCCUUCGGUCACAUACAGUGGUUGGGACUGAGGAACGCAGCAUGCCUUUAUGGCCGGGAUUCGUCCACGUACAUGCUUAGGAUGUUGACAUAAUGGCUUUAAACGACCC